UAACGUCUGUUUAGCAUGUACUGCCCUACGGCGUCACCUUGUUAGCGUCUCGGAGUCAUUUUACGCUGAUGAGAAGAAUUAUUCAUUUUCUGCAUAUCGAUAACCUAAAAAGUCUUUGAAUAGUAUUCCUCAAAGAUCGGCACCGUGCUUUGACCUUCCUCGCUCUGACCGAUUAACAACGUAUCGGUCUCAUCUAUCCCGGGUUUUGUCUCAUCGGAUUUUUGUUCUUCAUGCUCUGUUCUGUUUCUGCUUCGACUUAGAAUUCGAAUUCCUUACCCCAUUGCGUUAACAUGUCGGGUCCGCUCGAUCGCUUUGCGAGGCCUUGUUUUGAGGGGUUCUCUGGCCACGACGAAAGAAAAGAACGGAAAUCAGACUUCGAAAACUCGGAGGAUGACAAGAGGACGAGAAUCGGUAGUCUGAAGAAGAAAGCAAUCAGUGCGUCAAGCAAAUUCAGACAUUCUCUUAGGAGGAAGAGCCGGAAGAAGAGUUCUAGUCGAACUAAUUCCGUUUCAAUCGAGGAUGUGCGGGAUCUUGAGGAGCUUCAGGUCGUAGAUUCAUUUCGGCAGGCACUUAUCUUGGACGAAUUGCUUCCUCCGAGACACGAUGAUUACCAUAUGUUGUUGAGAUUCUUGAAAGCAAGAAAGUUUGACAUUGAGAAGGCAAAGCACAUGUGGGCCAACAUGAUUCACUGGAGGAAAGACUUUGGUACAGACACAAUUUUGGAGGAUUUUGAGUUUUCUGAGUUGAACGAAGUUCUACAAUACUACCCUCAGGGUUAUCAUGGCGUAGACAAGGAAGGAAGACCUAUAUACAUUGAGAGACUGGGAAAAAUUGAUCCCAACAAGCUUAUGCAAGUGACAACUAUGGAUCGGUAUGUGAGAUACCAUGUACAGGGGUUUGAACGGAGUUUUGCAAUUAAGUUUCCAGCCUGUUCUAUUGCUGCAAAGAGACACAUUGAUUCAAGUACAACAAUUUUAGAUGUUCAAGGAGUGGGUUUUAAAAACCUAACCAAGUCUGCAAGAGAACUCAUCACACGGCUGCAGAAGAUUGACAAUGACAACUACCCUGAAACGCUUUUUCGAAUGUUUAUAAUUAACGCCGGUCCUGGUUUUAAGCUGCUCUGGAGCACUGUGAAAACUUUUCUUGAUCCCAGAACAACCACAAAGAUUCAUGUUCUUGGCAACAAGUACCAAAGCAAAUUACUUGAAAUAAUUGAUGCAAGUGACUUGCCAGAAUUUCUGGGUGGUAGCUGUACAUGUGCCGACCAGGGAGGAUGUAUGAAAUCAGACAAAGGGCCGUGGAAUGAUCCAAACACAUUGAAGAUGGUUCUUCGCGGUGAAGCACGAUGUUCUAGACAAAUAGUAACUGUUACAAACUGUGAGGGGAAGAUAGUUUCAUCUGAUAAGCCACAUUAUAACAUGAUAAGAAGUAGUGAUGCAUCUACUGCAGAGUCAGGAUCUGAAAUGGAAGAAAUGACCUCACCUAAAGCAAGUAGGAGCUAUUCACAACCAAUGUUGACUCCUGUCCGUGAAGAAGCUAGAAUUGCUGUUAAGGGGAGCAGUGGUGGUGGCGUUUGGGAAUAUGAUGAACACGUUCCCAUGAUUGACAAGGCUGUGGAUGUGGGAUGGAAGAAACAAGUAUCACUUCUAGAGUCAAGUGCGUCUGGAGGGACAUCUUCUUUUCCAAGUAUGGAAAAAGCUCCAGAAAGAAUCCAAACUCAAAUCUGGGCUGCAGUGGUGGCCUUCUUCCUUACCCUCAUUACCCUAUUACGCUCAGUGGCGUUCCAGGAGAAGUGUCAUCCCCCUUCUCCUGCUCCAGGUUUUGCUGAUGCAGCAGACCUUCUCUCAUCUGCUUCGAAAAGGCUGGGCAAGCUUGAGGAGAAAGUAGAUAUGCUGCUGGCAAAGCCAUUUGAGAUGCCUUAUGAGAAAGAGGAGUUGCUGAAUUCUGCUGUUUGUCGUGUGGAUGCGUUGGAGGCUGAGCUUAUUGCAACAAAAAAGUCGCUUGUUAUUUUACCUGGGAUCUCAUAUGAUUCUUCCUGAUUAGGCUUUGCAUGAAGCUUUAAUGAGGCAGGAAGAACUUCUGGCAUACAUAGACAGACAGGAAGAAGCCAAGUUUAGGAAGAAGUCUUGCUGGUGAAAAGGAGGUUCCUGUACAGGAGGAAGUAUGUGGUGGUAGGUUGCAUUGUGUCAAAAAAGUGGCAGCUACUGAUAGGAUCAUAGAAUGUUAUCUGCAACAUUUCGGUUUGGGACGAGGGCUCCAGUGGCUAUUUUAGGGGUAGAGAACUGUGAGGGUUUUGAGAAAGAGGGAAUUGGGCAAUGAAGAUAGAACUCUCUUCAUGUGGCCUGUGCUUGUGACCUUAUUGGGGCCUAAGACUCAUUGAAGGGCCCACUAAAAAUAUGAAACAGAUGUGUUAUGUAAUAUAAUUGGCUAGAUUGAAGGCUGUGUAGCAUAUGCUUCCAUGAUAGCUCACUCUAUCAUAAAAUGGGCUUUUAUGGUGAACUCGGAUCCAUUCCCAAUUAAAUUAUGACUGUUUUUAUUUUUA